rnacentral:lncRNA from 1 species
CAAACAUGCAUUUGAAGACACGAGACUGCAUAAACACACUGUCACACACACACAUUAACACACUCUUUACUCUGGCGGACAUGCAAACCCACUCCGCUGUGCGCUGCGAUUGAUUUAGGACUGGUGGAGCCGAGCGAACGGUGAGUGAUGCUUCGUUAUUAAUGUAUCCAAAUAAGAUAAUUACUCAGGCCUUCUGCUCCUCUGCCAGUCAGCCAGUUAGUUAAACACGCGUCGGGGAUUAUGAUGUCAGCCAGAUUAAAUGAUCAAUUACACGUGCUGAGCAGAGAGCACGCUCCCUCUCUCCGACGUACACACAAAUACACACGUACAUAUGCAAGCAAGGCAUGACUGUGUGGAUUUUGUGUCUAUGUGUGUGUGUGUGUACUGAAUGUGUUUGUGUGUUGGUCAGUGGCCGGUUGGUCGGGGGGCCCUGGCUUUUGACCUCGAACUCGGGGGUCAGGCAGCAGACGGCCGGCCAGCUGGACAUUUCCAUCUCAAAGACCCCUGAGGACCCCUCAGCUCUCUCUCCUGUGCAUGCACACACACACAAACACACACACACACACAGAACCUCUAAGAUCCCCUCCCUCCUUUUACUUGUAUCUCAUUUUCUCCUGCUGUGGACGGUUGGAUGGUUUAUGAGUGCGGAGGAGCUGCAGCCAUUCAUUUCUCCCUAACUGGGGGUCUAAUGGAGAGGUCUACGCAGGAAACCUGAGCUCUCACUGAGUAAUGAGCCGCCCUUUACUGUCCACUGUGUGUGUGUGUGUGUUAUUGGUGUGUGUGUGCUCUGGCCGGCCAGGCUCUGACCCUGUAAAUGAUGUCUCUCCUCCCCUCAUCCUCAGCGGCUCUUUACUGCUAAUAACCUCUGAUCAGAUCUUAGAUGGCCAAGCCCUCCGCUGGGCCUGGACUACCUCCAACCCAAUGGCCCACUAAUGCGCUCCAAUCAACCGUGGGCUUCUCUAUUGGAGGUUGAUACGUAGGGAUCCUUGGCAAGUUUGGCUGAUGCCCCCUCAGACCCAGUCGCCCCACAGAAGCCUCACUCACUAUUUACUCACCUUUACCUCCCCUGAAGAAGUGGUAAGACUGGGCAGUAGCAUUGGUGUGUACGGGGGGAGGGAACGGUAGUGAGCCGCUUCUCUACAGUCUAAUGCAGUUAGCAAGGGGCCAAUCAGUCAUCCCGACCAAUACUAACCAUGUCGCUGGGCCACUCCUCCCAUCUUCCCCACACAGGAGCCACACAGAGCAGCACUGUACAUUUACCUGCAAUUAGAUUUAGCCCAGUAUCCUGCUGGGAGAGAUGGAGGCCCCUCAGAUCUCAGCAUGGCAACAACUGUCACUGUGCGUAUUCACAAUGAGAGGGUGGUUAUAGGAGAUUGGAAUCCAGGGUGAGCGAUCCCAAACCAGUGGAGGGGUUUUGUCUCACCAUGAGGGGGUCACUGUGCUUUGAUUAAUUUUAUCGAUUUAAAAUAUUUGUUGAUAGUGUUGGGUGGUAUGAUAGUACAUACCGUGUGACGGUAUAAAAGUGUCUACCGGGAAGCCCAUCCGUUUGGGUGCGUUUCCGUAUAUUUACCAGCGUUUCGUGCAGAGUUUGUUCGCUUUGUUUGAUUAGUCAGGUUUGGGUGCGCUCCCGAUAAUCACUGGCGUGUCCAGCAGACUGCUUGGCAUAGUUUGGAUAAAGAAGAAACAGCUUCACUGGUGGUAGUCAUGGCGGACGCGGAGAUUAGUGGCAGUAUCGAGCAAAUGGAGGCAGCCCAACCCACCCAACUUGAGGAAGUGGAGGAGGAACUCGUUCUGAAAAAAGGCACGAGUCGAGACAUUGGUCGUCUGGAGAUUCUUCGGAUUUAGAAAAUAUGACAAUGAUCAAAAAACAAUACUAUGCAAAGAGUGUAUGCAAUGGCAUUCGUAGCUGGAGGAGGAAACACCUGCAACCUCUUCCACCACCUAAAGAUGAAACAUGCCAAACUCUAUUAGGAGAGCCAAAAGAUGUGUGGCGCACCCGCUGCACCAAAAACUGAAGCUGCAGCAGCUCCUCUCAUUCGAAAGAGCUUGGCAGAGUCUUUGCCAAAGGUACGCUGUAUGAUAAAAAUUGCCAAACUGGUCUGUCAUUUUGUUGGAAUUUGUUUACAAAUCCGAGUUUUAAAAUAAAAGCAAAAUUAUCAAAAUGUGACAUUAUGGUUAUUUUUAAGCCGUUAAUUGAGUUUACAGGGGGAAAAAACAUACACCAGGAAAUUACUCAUACCGUGAUAUAAGAUUUUGUUCAUACCGCCCAACAUUAUUUGUUGAUUUAAAAAUGAGUCAUUUUGACAGCCAAAUAAUGAUCCCUCCAUGCCACUUCAUUCUUAACUGCUUCCUUGCCAGCCAUACUAACAGUAAACUUCACAUUUUCAGUCAAACAUGAGCAUUUUGAACUGAUAUUCCGAAUGACCCCUGCACCUGAUGAUGGUUUUCUGCCUUGUAACUUUUAUAUUCAUAUUCUGUUCUAUUUUGUGUUGUCUUUGCACCUGUCUUCAAUUGCAAGACUCCUCUUUCAUUCAGCUCCUCAUGUUCUUUUUUUUUAACCCUGUUUCUGAGCAGAGAUAUUUGUGUGACCACCAUCUAUGACUCUGAAGUUUUCGCUUCAAUUAGUAAAUAUUUUUUUGAAAUCCUUUCUAUGCAAAGAUGCUGUUGGGAAUUUGCGUUUUUGUGACAGUGUCGAAAGGCAGAGGUGAAAUGUGCCAGUGAUUGAUUGAGAUAACUUGUGGGAUCAAAUUUUCCCUGCCAAGAAAUACAACACUGAUGCUAUCGUAUUUUGAUCAGUCAGAAACAAGUGUUUAUGGUUUUCAACAUAUUUAUUACACGGCUGUGUCGACUCUGACGGGUCAUCAAUGGCUGCUGCUCUUUUGCAGACCUGCUCAGAAGCACACACUGCAAAUACGCAUGCAGCUCUAAUCACUGGGUGGACUAACUAACUAACUAAAAGAUUUUCUUUAAAAAGUAUAUGGCAGAGAGUAAAGUAAAUGGGAAACAAUAGCAUUUAACAAGGGUAAUUGAGAAAGAAAAUGUCAAUGCACUAAACAGUGAUAAGGCAGGAAAACUAAAUGGGGUACUGUGGUGAAACUUGGGUCAUUAAUUUUGUUCUGAGUUUACCUUUGCUAAAACAACAGCUACAAAUACAUAAUUUAAAGGAAUAUUUCAUCAGCAAAAAACUUAAUAUCAAAUCAGGUUAAAAUCAGAUCAAAUUAUUCCUUUAGGAAGUUGCUGUGUUAUAACUGAGACGAUCUUUCAGAAUGAAAUCCAAUAAAACUUUGAUUAGAAUAAAACUGCUAAUCUGCUUUGCUAAAAGGAUAAUUAAUUCCUUUUCUUUUCAAACUAAAUAGUCGAUUGUACCCACUGAGCAUUUAUUGGUCUAAAAGAGGUCUAAUAGACGUCUUAAUGUAGACGACUGGUCUGAAAUGAGGCUACCACAGGUCUAAAAAUUAAAGUUUUUUAGACGUCUAAAUUUAGACCAAGUCUAAAUUUGGGCUAUAUCUAUACUACACUGUAUAUUACUCAAUGGCUAUAAUAAUUAUUUUGGUUACAUACCUGGAGAUCAGUUAUGCAACUCACAGUUGCUAUUUAAAAUAAAUAGUUAUCAAAUAAUGGGUUAAAGUGCAACGUCUAAAUUCCAUCUAAAAAUAUACAGAAUCUAGACAGUUGAAAUUAGAUCUAAAAAAGUAGAUGUCUAAUAGCCGUCUGCUGCUUAGUGGGUAGUCUGGAAGACAUUUUUCUCAUGACUCAGAAUCACACAAGAACACUUUGAAGAAUUAAACCGUAGGGAUUUAAGGCCAUUUUAUCUUUAAGCACCAGAUCAGAAUAGAUUUCAUCAGAAACCCUGUAAUUGUAAUAGGAAAUAUUUAGAUCAUAACAUUCAAAUGUGGUAACGUAAACCCAUCUACUUGUCUGCGUUCUAUGUUUCUUUUAGACACUCACUGUGUAUUAUCCUGUUUGUAAAUCCAUGAAGUUCUUCCACUGACUAAAUUUGCUCGUUUUCUGUCCCGGCUGCCAGCAGAGCAGUAUUAAUGAUACCACUUAAACACUCACAGAGGUCGUACGGUUUUGUGUUCUGUCCUGUGUGCCUUUUGUGUGUGUUUGUGGGUGUGUGUGUGUGUUAGUAACAUAUUAAAGACUGGUGCAGCUUGGUGACAGCCCAGUAGUGUUUACCUGGCCCUUUGCUGAGGUGCUGGAUGGAUAAUGAUUUAACCAUUGAAGAUUAGUGAUCAGAUGAAUACAAUGGAGCGGCUGAUAGCUGCCUCUGUCUGUUUGCUCUGUCCCUACUGGGAACAAGGCAGAUCACACACAUACACUCUUUUACUCACACACUCACACACACAUUACAUUAGUCUAAUCCCAUGUCUCCAAGCCCAGUGCUAAACUCAAUGUAAGCAUGCACAGGAGCGCCUUAACUAGAGUGAGUGUGUGAACCUCUGCUGUGUAAACACGCCUGCAGUUUCGUGGGGAGGCUCUCUCUGCCUCGUCAGGAUGCACACACACAGAUUCCAUUCCCUCGUCCCUGAACCCCCUCCUCCUCCUCUCUUCGACUUCCCUCGCCUCUCUUCUCUCCUUUCGUCACCAAUUGCUCCUUUCUUCACCUCCAAUUCUCUCUUCUGCUCCCCCACUUUUUCACUGUGAUUUACAGCUCCCUGGCCCCUCCCCACACCUCGGCAGCACAUUAAGAGCAUUUAAACUGUGGCCGUUACUAAACAGGGGUCUUUAUGGAGCCGCUCCGCACAUCUAAAGCCCAUUACAGCUACAUCAAAGUGGGAUAACAAUGACUAAUGAACAAUAGAUAUCAUGAGAGACUGUGCCAAAUCAGUAUUCACUGUUUCCACGAGGGUGUGGGUGUGUGUAUGUGUAUGUGUGUGAGCAAUCAAAUCUCCAUUAACUUUCUCUUGCAAUAAAUGUGAGUCUGUGGGUUGUGCACCAGGCUGUUGAUGUGUGUAUCUUGGGUUGCAGUUAUGUGUUUUUGUUUGUGAAAAUUGCACUGCUACAAUCACAGGAACAAACCAUGUGAAGAAUAUUUUUACCCACGAGCGUACAGUCUGGUCUUGGAUUAAAACAGCAGGGAACAAACACAUAAUAAUCCCCCCCAACUCCAACAGGCAGCUUUAGCACUGCACUCCUACCUUCUCACCUGAACAGAAACCACCCUCGCUCUUUCCCGUCUCGGAGAGCUCUGAGCCUCUGUGAGUGUGGAGGUAUUUUGAGGGCUUUGCCCAGCGCUGCACCGCUGAAUAGAGAAGGUGGGAGAUGCGUCCCAUAAUCCCAUAAUGGCAGGUACAUGAUGACAGGGGGGACCUGUGUAAUCCUCUUUCUGAUGCAGCUAUCAUUGUCCCUACCCCAGCCACUUUCCCUACUAAUCCCUCCACCUGCACCUCAACCCAGCACCCAAACACACACAGAGGAACACACCGAAGUGAGCUGUACUGAUCGGACUGAUUGUUGCAUAGUUUGCACCAAUAAUCGCACAAAAAAAGGAAUAUUGAUACUCAUUAUUGUCAAUUUCAGUCAUCGGUUAUCACACAAUACCAGUCAAUAAUGAAAGUGAUGGUUAUUUUAUUUUUUCCCACAUUGUGUCCACAUACAGAUCCACUCAUAGACUUCCACCUGCACUGGCUCUGAAGCAGACUUGUUCAGGUAUAGUACUCACAAACUGCCCACUCAUACUGCAAACAGAGCAAAUUAAAGCUCCUAUGAGGAGUUCUUGGUGGGUGAUGAAAUCAACUAAAAUGUACAGUAAUGUGUCUCUGUGAUGUGUAAAAGCAAAUUGCACCAUUGAUGACAAAAUUAACCAUUUCUUUAUUGUAAUUUUGAAUGUCUGUAACUGCUGUUAAGGUGGAGGUACGCUGAAGUAUUCACGGUGAGGCAGGGCUCAACAGUGCGACUAUUUCACUCACAUUUGCAACCAAAAACAGAUGUGUGCGAAUUGUAAAAUGCAUUUAGGGGCACAUGUGCGCAAUACAUAAUUAGCCGAGGCAACAAAUGUUUUUUCUUGUAAGUACUGCGGUGAAGUUAGUUUUAAGUUGGCUAUUUGACGGACGUUCACUGCGGAUCUGCCAGUGUCUUCUCACUCUCCUUAACUGGGAAUAGCAACAGCAGGGCGGUUAAAUCUACUCGGCAUCCUCGCUGUCAAUGUCGGGUGUUGAAUGAGGGACUGUCAAUAAAUUACUGGUUGGUUUUCUCAGAGAGGGCUGUUUUCCUUCAAUAGCUUCCAUAUCAUGUGACCAAUUGACCUUAAAAUUGAUUUCAAAUAAUCGAACUAAGAUCGGACAAUAGACACACCUCUUUAUUUUCCAAAGUCGCCCUCUAAAAAAAAAUUUCUACAAGAGACCUAAAAUUGAUUACCAAUGAUAGUACUUAGGUCAACACAUUAUUUGAUCAGUUUUCAUUGUGCCCCUAAAUUUCUUUGUGUUCUCCUUACUUUUUCAACUCAAAAGCUUAUGUGCUCCAAGCCCUGUGAGGGAAUAAUUUCACCUUAAAAAGAAAACAGGGGGAGGUUUUUGUCACUUUAACACAUGAGACAAAACCAGAUAGAAUGCAAGAGUUAUUACUUUGUCCACAGGGGGCGCCAUAGUCAACACAGAAAAUUCCUCGCAGGAUCUUUAAAUAAAGUUCUCCCCCAAAAAGAUAUUUGAAAGCUUAUUUCAAGAGUUUAAAUGUUUUCAUUUGUUUGUAAAAUGCAUUUUAAGAUGAUGACACACAGGCCUGUUUGGUACCAUUUUUUAAUAAGAUAAAACAAGAAGAACUUUAUUGAUCCCCAAAGGGAUAUUCAGUCAUAUAUAUAUGUAAUGUAACAUAUAUGAAAGAGACCCAUGAGAGAAAUUGGAUGACAGAGUAAAUAGUUAGGGGAGGAAUAACUGUGCUGCUAAAACCAAUGUAAGAUUGAUCUGAUUUAAUGAUGAACAGUUUUGGCAAGGUUGCUUCAUUUGCAAAUGUCGACUACCCUUGAAAAAUCCACUGUCACUCAGUUGACCCUGCUUGCUUGACUUCACCUUUGUUAUGAGGCUUAUCUAUACAUUUGUCUCUGAUUGGCUCAUCUUAAAACCUUAACUUUUUUAUCAAGUUUAGGAGACUUUCAAAUUUCAAACAUUGUUAGACUUUCUCUUAAAACACCAUUUUGUCCUCAGAUUGUGGCUUAAAGAAAAACCGCUGUUUUGUGUCUGUGUGUAUGUCUCGAGUGUCGUCACAGUUUAAGAAUACAUGUCUAAAGGUUUGAAAACACAAAACACACCCACAUACUGUACAUGCCAUCAUUUGUACUUUCACUCAUACACACACACACACACACACACACACAGGCUAGCAGGGACCUAUUGAACACAACAGUAAGCCGCUCACAGCCACACACACACACACAGAAAAGAGAGGACACUCUCUUGUUGACAUAAAAUAUAUAAUCCUUCCCCUUUCAGAGAUAUAGAUUUUCAGGCACAACUAAAGGACAGCAAUCCUUGACCUAACCACUGAGCGCCUUGUUAAAUCUUCACACACUGUGCACUGCUCACACAUCACUUUUAACAAGAGGAGCCUGGUUAUUAAAUAUAGUUCCUCCUCUGAUGUGAGUGGCUUAGGGUAUCUUAACUGAUCAAGAGGGAGGACCCCUUUCAAAGUGUUAGCAAAGUUUCAACUAAAAACUUAUACAAUAUAGUAGUGCAUGUAAAAUCAGAGAAUUGCUCUUUACUUGUUUAUAACUCAGCUUGUAUAAAACAUCUUCAUCUGAAUAAAUUUAAGAUUUAGAACUAGAAUGAAAAUGAGGUUUAGUUCUCACACUGUGCUCCUUUUUUUUCAUUUUCACCUGUUAUAAUAACAGGUUUAAAGUUAGCGCAUGUUAAAGCAGAUACACGUAAAAACUAACCGUCACAACUAAAGACAUCAAAUAAAAAUCGCCCAGUGGGUUCUUUAUGAAGAAAAUUCUCAUUAUCUGACAGACACAAGCACAUCCAACAGAAAGUCAUUAAUAUAAUCAAUAAUAGAAAUAAGCACAGCCUGACCAACAUGUCAACAAGCCAAAUGAAGCUCACAGACAUCAUGACCAUAUUUUGCACUCUUAAGUGCAUGAAAAAUAAAAGCUUUUUAAUAUCAAUACACCAGAAAUAGCCAACUCCAGUCCUCUUCAGAGAGGCCAGCGGUAUGUGGAAAAAAAAGAUCAUUUGUUCAGAAACACUCAGCCUGUCUUUAUGUGAGCUGGAUGUUCAAUCUGUGCCAAACAAAAGCAUCUUCCUUUUUUAUUUACCUCAUAAAACCAUCCCCAGAGUCUACCUGCGAGCGCACUGACCACGGCGCCCUCGGGCCGAGGGGUCGUCGACCUUUCACCCUGACCCCCUCAGCUGGUCAAACUCUAACCCUGGAACAGAUGGAUAACGGACUCGAUGCUUUAUCUCCUCCUGACCACACUCUCCUUCUCCCCGCACUCACCGUCGGUUUUCCUUUCACCUCCAUUUUCCUUCAUCUUCACUUUCUUGCUCCUCAUCAUCUAAACUCUCAGAUCUUGAUUUACCUGUGCUCACCUGUGCGCUCUACCCUGUUUUCCCAGCACUUUUUUCACACUCCUUCUCAUGACUCCCACUGUUUAUUUUCCUCCUCUUUCCAUCCUCACACAUGGUGCUUCUUUUCUACUGUGUGUUUGUUUGUCAGCACUUCUCCUGGCUGAAUUUUGAGCUUUGUUAUCUGAAUAUCAGAGUGUAACAACGGCCGUGCCAAAAAGUGUAACACCCUGCGUCAAUUCCGGUUAUUGAACGGUGUUUAUUUAACAUUUUUCUACAUGCAUUGGCUCUUUUCCAAAUAUGACAUCUGAAAAAUACAGAAUUUUUGAUGCAGUGAUAUAAAAUAGAAAAAAGAGGAAAAUUAAAGGUGUAAUUCCCCUUUUUUCUUCAUGAUAACUUGCAAAAUACUAAACUAAACCUGGUUUUAAUGAUAAUUUAAUAAAAAAAAUAUAGUGUUUAUGAUAAAUCCUGUGACUCGGUUGAAUUGUUUCUAAUAAAAUGGUGACAAAGUCAUUAGUCAGAGUCUGAGUCAGCUCCUGCAUCUUUAAAUUAACAUUUCAUUGAAGCAGCAGAAUAAUAUUUUAGUAUGGUCUAAAUAACUCUCCAGAAUUCCCCCUCUUCUCUCCUCUUGUGUUAAUGCAUGGCAUCAUUAUAAACAUUUAUGCAGCGCAGGAGCCUCUCGUGCCAAAGGGGCUGACGCUCUUGCGGAUCGAACCUUUCGAUUGAUACUGAAACAAUUUGCAUACUGAUUCUCUUUCAGUGCGCACGGAUCCAUAACAACACCGGCCAGCUAUUCAAAUGCGCCUGCAUCGAGAAAAGCAGGGAGAGAAGCCCGGCACCGGAGCAGGAGGGAAACACGGGCUGUUUUUUACCGGACGGAUCAUUUGCUUAAACUUGAAGCGGAGAAGUCAUCUCCAUGCAGCCGCUGUGAGGAUGUUUACCGCAGGCUGGACUGUGUGUGGACUCCGAAGCUGGGGAUCGGAGGAGGAGGAGGACGAGGGAGAGAGAGGGUGGGACGGGAGAAACACACGGAGGAGACGCGCGGAUGUGAGCACGUCCCUCCGCUUCUUCUUCCAGCUCGUGUUUGUUGGAGUUAAAAGAGUCCAAGUAUAGGCUGUAGAUGUUUCAGCUCUGUGGUUGGGAGAGAGCUGGGCGGCUGUUAAAGAUGCAUGACAGAAACGGAUGCUGCGGUAAAGUCGGGGACUACAUCUGAGAGUGUGUGUGUGGGUGUGUUGGUGUGUGUGCGUCCUUUUGUACAGUGCGUGCGCGGUGUGUUUUCUGUGUGUGGCGCCGAGGAGAAGAGAAGUUUUAACGCAGACAUUUUGCACUCUGGCACCCUGUUGAGAAGAAAGAUGGAC